rnacentral:rRNA from 1 species
AGGACGAACGCUGGCGGCGUGCCUAACACAUGCAAGUCGAACGGGACCAGGGGCAACUCUGGUUCAGUGGCGGACGGGUGCGUAACACGUGAGGAACAUGACCUUCGGCGGGGGAUAGCCGGCCCAACGGCCGGGUAAUACCGCGUACGACCAUCCGGGGACAUCCCUGGGUGGUGAAAGCAGCAAUGCGCCGAUGGAGUGCCUCGCGGCCUAUCAGCUAGUUGGUGAGGUAACGGCUCACCAAGGCGACGACGGGUAGC